rnacentral:lncRNA from 1 species
UUCUGCGUUGCAAUCGUAUGAUGAAUACAUUCAUAAAUGAUUGCAUGGGUUGGUCGAUAUGAAGACCUGGGUUGAUCCUCCUUUUUUCAAAAAAUAUGUUGAAAUGAGCGUUUAUUAUCAAGAGAUAGAAGAUUUGAUGAGGUGCCAUUAUGCAUUCUAGUGAAUGCAAAUAUCAAAAAUUGUACUACUUGAAACCCACACAGUGAGGUCUUUUUUUUAUGAAAAGCAAUAGCUGAAGUGCUUCAUUGAAUUUAAGAAGAGGAGUUUUAGCGACUACUCAUGGGAUACAAACAUGAAGUCCACACGGUUUUACCACCAGAGACAGCAAUUGGCAUCUCAUUACCUUUGAACAUCCCAAACCAGGACUCCAGGAGUUGCCUGAGUGAGCUGAUGCUUGCAAGGGAAUGGAUUCUAAAGAAGUUCACGCCACCUUUUGCUUUUGGCCCGACAAAUAGUCAGCACAAACAACACAUAUUCUAGAGUAACAUUGUUAGAGUCCUGGGAUCGGAGGUCGUAGCCAUGGUCUGGAGGUGCGUGAGGGUUGAUGNN